UACGUAGGGACCAAGCGUUGUCCGGAAUCAUUGGGCGUAAAGCGCGCGUAGGUGGCCAUUUAAGUCCGCUGUGAAAGUCAGAGGCUCAACCUUUGAAAGCCGGUGGAUACUGGAUGGCUAGAGUACGGAAGAGGCGAGUGGAAUUCCUGGUGUAGCGGUGGAAUGCGCAGAUAUCAGGAGGAACACCAAUAGCGAAGGCAGCUCGCUGGGACGUUACUGACACUAAGGCGCGAAAGCGUGGCGAGCGAACAGG
rnacentral:rRNA from 1 species